UACGAAAGGAGCAAGUGUUAUUCAGAUUAACUGGGCGUAAAGGGCACGUAGGUGGUUUGUUUAUGUGUAUUAUUAAAUUAUAAAGCAUAACUUUAUAAUGUAGUAUAAACAGCAAAACUAGAGUUAGGUAGAGAGUAGUAGAAUUUCUAAUGUAAAGGUGAAAUUUGAUAAAAUUAGAGAGAAUACCAAUGGCGUAAGCAUCUACUUGGACCUUAGCUGACACUGAGGUGCGAAGGUAUGGGGAGCAAAUAGG
rnacentral:rRNA from 1 species